rnacentral:rRNA from 1 species
UACAGAGGUCUCAAGCGUUGUUCGGAUUCAUUGGGCGUAAAGGGUGCGUAGGUGGCGCCGUAAGUCAGGUGUGAAAUUUCGGAGCUUAACUCCGAAACUGCAUUUGAUACUGCGGUGCUUGAGGACUGGAGAGGAGACUGGAAUUUACGGUGUAGCAGUGAAAUGCGUAGAUAUCGUAAGGAAGACCAGUGGCGAAGGCGGGUCUCUGGACAGUUCCUGACACUGAGACACGAAGGCCAGGGGAGCAAACGGG